AAGCGAUGAUAUCAAGGGGCAUGCCAAGAGCGUUGAGUUGAUCUUGCGGGAGGGGUUGCACAGUGAAACCUCAACUUGGCGUAAGCAUUUUUGCCGAAAGAAAAUGUAAAUA
rnacentral:ncRNA from 1 species